rnacentral:rRNA from 1 species
AUUCCAGCUCCAAUAGCGUAUAUUAAAGUUGUUGCAGUUAAAACGCUCGUAGUCGGAUUUCGGGGCGGGCCGACCGGUCUGCCGAUGGGUAUGCACUGGCCGGCGCGUCCUUCCACCCGGAGACCGCGCCUACUCUUAACUGAGCGGGCGCGGGAGACGGGUCUUUUACUUUGAAAAAAUCAGAGUGUUUCAAGCAGGCAGUCGCUCUUGCAUGGAUUAGCAUGGGAUAAUGAAAUAGGACUCUGGUGCUAUUUUGUUGGUUUCGAACACCGGAGCAAUGAUUAAUAGGGAUAGUCGGGGGCAUUCGUAUUCAAACGACAGAGGUGAAAUUCUUGGACCGUUUGAAGACGAACUAAGGCGAAAGCAUUUGCCAAGAAUGUUUUCAUUG